AGAGUUUGAUCAUGGCUCAGAAUCAACGCUGGCGGCGUGCCUCAGACAUGCAAGUCGAACGCGAAAGUUCCCUUCGGGGGGCGAGUAGAGUGGCGCACGGGUGAGUAACACGUAGGUAAUCUACCUUCGGAUGGGGAAUAACAACCGGAAACGGUUGCUAAUACCGCAUAAUGCAGCGGCACCUAAUGGUGACAGUUGUUAAAGCGGGGGAUCGUAAGACCUCGCGUCUGGAGAGGAGCCUGCGGCGGAUUAGCUAGUUGGUAAGGUAACGGCUUACCAAGGCUAUGAUCCGUAGCCGGCCUGAGAGGGCGGUCGGCCACACUGACACUGACAUACGGGUCAGACUCCUACGGGAGGCAGCAGUCGGGAAUUUUGGGCAAUGGGCGAAAGCCUGACCCAGCAACGCCGCGUGAAGGAUGAAAUCCUUCGGGAUGUAAACUUCGCAAGAACGGGAAGAAUAAGCCGGUAUUAACACCACCGGUGAUGACGGUACUGUUUGUAAGCUCCGGCUAACUCCGUGCCAGCCGCCGCGGUAAUAC
rnacentral:rRNA from 1 species